UACGUAGGGUGCGAGCGUUUAAUCGGAAUUACUGGGCGUAAAGCGUGCGCAGGCGGUUUUGUAAGCCAGGUGUGAAAUCCCCGGGCUCAACCUGGGAAUUGCGUUGGAGACUGCAAGGCUGGAGUCUGGCAGAGGGGGGUAGAAUUCCACGUGUAGCAGUGAAAUGCGUAGAGAUGUGGAGGAACACCGAUGGCGAAGGCAGCCCCCUGGGUCAAGACUGACGCUCAUGCACGAAAGCGUGGGGAGCAAACAGG
rnacentral:rRNA from 1 species